GAUGAAGAACGUAGCGAAAUGCGAUAAGUAAUGUGAAUUGCAGAAUUCAGUGAAUCAUCGAAUCUUUGAACGCACAUUGCGCCCGCCAGUAUUCUGGCGGGCAUGCCUGUCUGAGCGUCAUUUCAACCCUCAUGCCCCUAGGGCGUGGUGUUGGGGAUCGGCCAAAGCCCGCGAGGGACGGCCGGCCCCUAAAUCUAGUGGCGGACCCGUCGUGGCCUCCUCUGCGAAGUAGUGAUAUUCCGCAUCGGAGAGCGAUGAGCCCCUGCCGUUAAACCCCCAACUUUCCAAGGUUGACCUCAGAUCAGGUAGGAAUACCCGCUGAACUUAAGCAUAUAAAUAAGCGGAGGA
rnacentral:misc_RNA from 1 species